rnacentral:lncRNA from 1 species
ACAUCCGUUGCGCUACUUUGAUCCUCCAACUCCCUUGUUCACUAGUUUACUAAAAGAACACUUCCUUCAUAACAAUUGUAACCCGAAGAUGAUCACCCUUGAAGAACAUUCUUCAAAACUUCCAUGACCUUGAAAACCCAGAUAACUCUUCUCUUGUAUAAUAACCUUGUCAUUCCAUUUCCUCUAGCACUACAUAACUUCAACAGGAACCACCCAUAAAUAAAUUACUAGCACCGGUUCUGCUUUAGACACCACUCCAAAGUGAACACCACUUCUCCAAGUUAUAAAAUCCCGUACUUGUUGCAGAAAACCAACCAAAACUGUUACACCAUAAAGAUUCAUCUUCUCAUUUCUGAUUAUCCAAGCUAACCUCUCUCAAUUCUCACACCCCUUUUUCUUCACUUUCUAACUUGAUCCACAAUUGAUGUAUAACCACUGACUUUUCUUCUUGAAACACGAAGCUUCUCUUGAAGACCAUAAAGCGCUACAGAAAUAUCUUGAAACAACAAACCUCCCUUGAAUCACACCUCGAACCUACGAAAGAACAACUUCAUCUCUUUGUCACUUGCACUUAAUAGACAACUUAAAUUCCCAUAAUACUUGCUCCUACCUUUUGCUCAACUACACUUGAUGCUCCACUGCUGCUAUCCUUCCCUAUCAAGUAACCUCUUCAUAUAAUCUUCAUAUCAAGCCCCCUUUUUCUUGACUCCGCAAACGCUACAUCUCUUAUAAGUCUUUAUGCACUCAUCCCUACCAGAUUAACUUAAAACUUAAAACCUUCUUCUUCAAGAAUUUCCCUCCCCAACUCAGAAAUCUUUAGAAAUACCAACUUUAUCUUUAAUCCUUUAAACGUAGCUAGCCACACCAAUCCUUUGACCUUAUCUGAACUUACCAAUCCAUUGCCUUCUGUAACUCAUCAUUCAACAUUCACUUCUACCUUGAUCAAACUCAGCCGACCACUAAACAUCACCACAAAACCACACCCGAUGAAAACUGACUUUACCAAUCUCUGUGAUCAUUUUCAAUACCCACUUUAGCUGAUUAUACUACAAUCACCCUUUUUCAUGCACUUCAAAAAAUUUUCUUCACUAUUUUUGGUUCCUCAUGCUUUCGAUCUUAUCGUCUUACCUUUUCUUUUUAAUUGACUUCUUGAUGUGCCUCUUCCUCUGGUGCUUGAAGUCUUCCACCUCAACUCGAGAUCAAAAAUUCCUUCUAUGCGAAUUACUAAUCUUGAAACAUCAUCAUAAGCUUGACUAUGAAUCAUCCACUUGUUGAGAAAGCUUGACCACUCCUUCUAAUUAUAUUACUUAACUUUAACCCUUACGAUACCUCAUUCUUCUAUCCCUUGGAACUCAACUCUUCUUAUGAAACGUACAAUAUAUGACCUUCUAACUCCAUUCUUGAAAACUUAUUCACCCCAAAAGUUUCUUAUAAAUUCCAAUAUCUUCACACAUCCCUUGAAACAUAAACUUUGGUCUUCUCACUCUUUAUCUUCAAGGCAAGAAUUUGCCUCAAAGGCAUAAACCAAUUCUAAUGAAGGUCUAUAGGUUAAGUUGUCCUUGAAUCUGCAUUCCUCUAUUACUAUGGAGUACAUUACACUACCACAAAGGCAAGAACAAGACAAGGAUUUCUAUCGACAAUCACACUAGAAUCACUAUGGAAAAACAAUACUGGAACCCCAACUUUUUUCCUUUCCCAAACCUUCAGAAUUAAGAAAGGAAAAUCAUCUCUUA